UUUUGGAGAUGUCAAAGCAGUUUCAAUAACCACAAGCUUAAGUAAAAGCCUGAAAAUAUCGAAUCUAAAAAAUGAAGUUAUAUAUCGUUUGCCUCAUCUUCAUACUACUUGGCGCUUUUGCCUUGAAUGUGGAGGCAAAACCUAAACCUUGCUUUGGACUUGGAAGACCACACCAUACAACACCUUCAGUAAAGGAUUUAAUUCAAGAACUUUUGGAUCAAUUAAAGGAAAAAAGUUAAAGCGAAUCUCCUAAGUCAGUAUUUCUAUCUUCAAUUGGAAUACCUAACAUAACUACCAAUAAACGAAUAGAAAAAAGUGGAUUCAAAGUAUAAA